rnacentral:rRNA from 1 species
ACUGAACGCUGGCGGCAGGCCUAACACAUGCAAGUCGAACGGUAACAGAAAGCAGCUUGCUGCUUUGCUGACGAGUGGCGGACGGGUGAGUAAUGUCUGGGAAACUGCCUGAUGGAGGGGGAUAACUACUGGAAACGGUAGCUAAUACCGCAUAACGUCGCAAGACCAAAGAGGGGGACCUUCGGGCCUCUUGCCAUCGGAUGUGCCCAGAUGGGAUUAGCUAGUAGGUGGGGUAACGGCUCACCUAGGCGACGAUCCCUAGCUGGUCUGAGAGGAUGACCAGCCACACUGGAACUGAGACACGGUCCAGACUCCUACGGGAGGCAGCAGUGGGGAAUAUUGCACAAUGGGCGCAAGCCUGAUGCAGCCAUGCCGCGUGUAUGAAGAAGGCCUUCGGGUUGUAAAGUACUUUCAGCGAGGAGGAAGGUGUUGUGGUUAAUAGCCACAGCAAUUGACGUUACUCGCAGAAGAAGCACCGGCUAACUCCGUGCCAGCCGCCGCCGUAACAC